UACUGGAAACGGUAGCUAAUACCGUAUAACGUCGCAAGACCAAAGAGGGGGACCUUCGGGCCUCUUGCCAUCAGAUGUGCCCAGAUGGGAUUAGCUAGUAGGUGGGGUAACGGCUCACCUAGGCGACGAUCCCUAGCUGGUCUGAGAGGAUGACCAGCCACACUGGAACUGAGACACGGUCCAGACUCCUACGGGAGGCAGCAGUGGGGAAUAUUGCACAAUGGGCGCAAGCCUGAUGCAGCCAUGCCGCGUGUAUGAAGAAGGCCUUCGGGUUGUAAAGUACUUUCAGCGGGGAGGAAGGUGUUAAGGUUAAUAACCUCGACAAUUGACGUUACCCGCAGAAGAAGCACCGGCUAACUCCGUGCCAGCAGCCCGGGUAAUACGGAGGGUGCAAGCGUUAAUCAGAAUUA
rnacentral:rRNA from 1 species